UACAGAGGUGGCAAGCGUUGUUCGGAUUUACUGGGCGUAAAGGGUGCGUAGGCGGUCUGAUGUGUCGGAUGUGAAAUCCCAUGGAUUAUCUGUGGAACUGCAUUCGAAACUGUUAGGCUUGAGUGUCGGAGAGGUGGGCGGAAUUCACGGUGUAGCAGUGAAAUGCGUUGAUAUUGUGAAGAACGCCGGAGGCGAAGGCGGCCCACUGGACGACAACUGACGCUGAGGCACGAAAGAUGGGGGAGCAAACAGG
rnacentral:rRNA from 1 species